UAUGAAGAACGUAGCGAAAUGCGAUAAGUAAUGCGAAUUGCAGAAUCCAGUGAAUCAUCGAAUCUUUGAACGCACAUUGCGCCCGCCAGCAUUCUGGCGGGCAUGCCUGUUCGAGCGUCAUUUCAACCCUCGACCUCCCCUUGGGGAGGUCGGCGUUGGGGACCGGCAGCACACCGCCGGCCCUGAAAUGGAGUGGCGGCCCGUCCGCGGCGACCUCUGCGCAGUAAUACAGCUCGCACCGGGACCCCGACGCGGCCACGCCGUAAAACACCCAACUUCUGAACGUUGACCUCGAAUCAGGUAGGACUACCCGCUGAACUUAAGCAUAUCAAUAAGCGGAGGA
rnacentral:misc_RNA from 1 species